GGGCCGGUGGUGCGAGUGAUCCCCCGUCCGCGGCGGCUCCAGGGGGUGAGCGCUGAGGAGCUGCUGCUGUUGCCUGUGCUCCUGCUGCUGCAGCGACCGCUGAGGGGAAACGGGGAGGGCAGCGGCGACCCGGCGACCUGGCUGCUGGACGAGCCGGCUACAGCGGGCGGCAAGGGGCAGGAGGAAUGAGGCGAGGCGGCUGCGGCCGCUCCGGGGAUGGGGAGGACCCGAUGGGCAGGGGCUGGAGUGGCCUUCUGCGGGAGCUCCCCUGACACCGGCUCGGCGCAGAGGUGAACCCCCACCCCAGCACACUAAAGAGACAAAGAUAAUUAAUAAUCUUUGUGGCGAAGUGUUGGGGGGCGGGGGGAGAGUUUAAACACCCGCCUAUCGCAAACCACUAUGUAAGUCCCAAAAUAGCUUAUUUAUAGAAUAAAGCGCUCUUCUUCCCAUCAA